rnacentral:rRNA from 1 species
AUGGAGGCCAGUUCUAGCACUGCUCUCUAUCCUCAGCGCCGCUGCAAAAACAUCUACCUGGUGAGGCAUGCUCAGGGCAUACAUAAUGUGGAGGGCGACAAGGAUCAUAGCGCCUACAAGUCGCCUGCGCUGGUCGAUGCUCACAUCACCCCUUUGGGCUGGAGCCAAGUUGAUUACCUGCGAGAGCAUGUGACAGAAUGUGGAUUGGCGAAAAAGAUUGAGUUGGUUAUUGUUUCCCCUCUAAUGAGGACUAUGCAGACUGCAGUGGGGGUCUUCGGUGGUGAGAGCUGUACUGAUGGAGAAAGUGCAUCACCAUUGAUGGUAGAAGGAGCUGGACACAGUGGACGUCAGGCGAUUUCAAGUUUCAAUUGCCCACCGUUUCUUGCAGUCGAGGCCUGCAGAGAGCGCUUGGGUGUUCAUCCCUGUGACAAGAGGAGCAGCAUAACAAAAUAUCGCACUCUCUUUCCUGCCAUUGAUUUUUCCCUGAUAGAGAAUGACGAAGAUGUUCUUUGGGAACCCAAUGUCAGAGAAGCAAUUGACACUGUUGCUGCUAGGGGCAUGAAGUUCCUUGACUGGUUAUGGACAAGAGAAGAAAAUGAGAUAGCCAUUGUCACCCAUAGUAGCUUCUUAGAUUUCACUUUAAACAUGUACAGUAAAGAGUGUCAUCCAACCAUAGCAGAGGAUAUGCGCAAGCGCUUUGCGAACUGCGAGCUCAGGUCGAUGGUGCUGGUCGACAGAAGGUCAGUUCUUGUUUUGCUUCAAUGA